UUUUUUUUUGUCAUAUUGUAUGUUGUUGUUUUCUUCUACAUGUGAUACUGAGACUUGAGCGGUUGAUGACUGUUGUGGGUCAUAGAGUCGUAUUGUGAGAUAUAUUUAGAUUGGGUUGCAUUAUACAACAGAUUAAUAUUUGGAUUGGAUUGCACGCCGCAACAGAUUAAUAUUUGGAUUGGGUUACACGUCGCAACAGAUUGAUAUUUGGAUCGGAUUGCACGCUGUAACAGUUAUAUUGAUUAUUGAUUAGCGCUUGGGACAUGGCCUACCCCUCCGGAGUAUGCUAUUACAAUGAGCGCAGGAACAAAGAUAUAUGUGCUUUGGUAAGGGAAAGUUGUGCCAGGCACCCGUACAGAGCUGAGUGUGGUUGUGUGUGAUAGUGAGGGGCAUUUGUUCCAGGCACCGUGAGUGUGCGGAGAGUGAGUGCACUUGAUGAUUUCACUAUGAUGUUAUUGACUUGAUAUGCACAUUUGGCAUGUAGGUAUAGAGAUGUUUUUUUUUCUGAUGAUAGCUAGUAAAUGAAAUAUCUUAUCUAUGUUGAGCUUUGACUAUUAUAUUUGGAAAACAUGUCUAAUUUUCUAUAAUUGUGAACGAGCUAAACGCGAUAUCUUUUGAGUUAUUUGUUUUUACUGUUUUCAUUAUAUUAUGAGUUGUUAUUGAUUAUUGGUGUUGGACCCUAACUUUCUAUCGAGCUCGUCACUACUUUCAACCCACGAUUAGGUUUGUUACUUAUUGAGUACAUGGAGUCGGUUGUACUCAUACUACUCUCUGCACUUUAUGUAUAGAUCUAGGUACUUUCGGACAUGGUGAUUGCGAAAGGUUGCACUGGUACCAUCUUGUGGAGACUACGAAGUAGUUGUUACGUCGUUCGCAGACCUUAAAGGUCUCUUUAAUUUAUUUAUGAUAUUACUAAUCUAUUAUUCAGACAGUUGUAUUGAGGAUUGUAUUUUGCGAUUCUAUAGCGCUCAUAUACUCGCUGACACCAAAUCUUUGAGGGUUGGUUGCGAUGUUGUAGUUAUUUUCAAACAUUUUAUGAUAUUAUUGUUGUUGAGAUUACCAAGUUAUGUUAUCUGUGUUUACUAUUAUUGAUAAAUUAUGGCUUGCCUAGCAAGUAGUGUUAGGCGUCGUCACGACUUCAGUGGAAAUUUUGGUCGUGAAAUUGGAGCAUACCCCAAAUGCUAAAACAAUAUAAAUAAAUACUAAAUUUUAGUCCACACCGAGAAGAAAAGCAAGAAAAGGUGUGGUGGAAGCUAGUCCUAUCCUGUAGUACCGGGAACAUGAUCGGUAAUAUCUGCAUCCAUGAAAAAUAAAAACAGGCCUUCACGGGCUAAGUCAUGACGAGAUAGCUAGCAAGUCUCAUAGGCUACCUCCUAAGAAGGCAGGAUGAGACCUUUGGGAUAAACAUAACAAAAAGAGAAAAAUAUCCACGUAGAGCAUGUAAGCAAUUUAAGGUCUUAAAACUAAUAGCUGGCUGAAGACCAAAACUAUAAGUUGAACAUGUAAACAAAUAAUUAAAAAUUAAAACUUUUAAAUAUUAUUUAAAAUGAAAUGGAAUUUAAGUUACAUAUAGUGGCCCUACGUACGUAUGAUCUGGCAACACGCACAUGCCUAUCUCCCCAACAAAUAAUAGCCCCUGCGAGCGUGGGAUAGCUAAUCCUGGCCCUAAUGGUACUCACGCAUGGGGAGGUCGGCUAGCUAUCCUUUAUGACUCUGAUCACAUUAAUGCAUUAAAGAAUGAAUGAUGAAACCGAAUACUAAACUAAACGUAAAUAUCACAACUAAAGGUACAUAACAAGUAGUAAUACAAGUAAGCAUGUAAUUCUAUCGCAUAUAAAGUAGUACUGAAUAAGAAUGGAGUGAACUCAGUAAUGGAAUACAAGAAGACAUGGCUUAGAUUUAUUGAGCACAUGGGGCACGAGGGUGUUAAUAAAAUUCCCUACUAGGAGAGUGAGCCUUAACUCACCUCAAAGCUAUGUGCUCACUGCAUUCACGCUUCCUUCAAGAAAUCACGAUUCACAAGUUUAUCUACAUGAUAAAGAGGUUCAAUUUACAUUGAUAGAAGAACUAAGUGUAUAACUUAAUUCACUUAGUUCAUGAAUAUUUAGGCUUAACUUGUCCAACUUGUAAAUUUUAACUCAAUAUGCACAAAUUAAGUCCACAUGUUCCAAGUUCUAUCAAUUAAUAUCAAUCGUCAAGUACACCCCCCAAGUUAUAAUAAUUGGCACCCAUUAAUUUAUCAUCAUCUUUUACCAUCACGCUUAUAUCCAAAGCUUCAAGUACUCGGAACAGAGAAGCAACUGAUAAACUAGCAUAAAUAAUGUUACUAAUUACACAAUAUCAACUAUUAUGAUAUUUUCAAAAUAUUGAUACCAUAAUUUAAGUGGGGGCAUGAUAACUUAAUCCAAAUAUAUUUACUUAGUUGAAAAGUUGUAAUAUUUAAUAAAGAAUACUUCUUUUAAACCUAAAGGAUGCUCAUUCACCCCAUCCGUAACUAAGCGCAAAACAUCACAUGAAUUUGAAUGUCAAUGAAUUGGGUAAAGUAUGUUUUGUUCCAAAAUUCAUUCUUUAAAUUAUAUAUGAUGGUGCCCACUAUAAUAAAGAUGUAUGCAAUACUCUAUUACCUUGAAUUUCUUCUUCUGCGCUAAUGAAACUUGAAACAAUACUUGGGGAAUCCUAAUUCUCCUUUCCGCCGUUACUACUCCAUUUUUAUUAUCUAAGGAGUUCCAAACCCCUUUCCCUUAAUCCCCUCACUAACAGACGUGGGAUUGACCCAUUAUCUAAUUAUUAAUAACAUCUUUUUCUUUUCUCUUUUUUUCCCUCAUUCUUUGUUUUCUUUUCUUUGUUCAAAUUAUUAUUUCCAGCACUUUAGAUCCAUAUCUUGCACUCAUGGGUAUUCCAGAUAAUAUGCGUGAAGUGUGUGGGUCUUUAUACUCCACAGGUAUGUUAAUUAUAUUAUUAAAUCCGUAAUUACUGAAUUUUCAAACCUUGAAAUUUAUGGGGACUUACAUUCUCCCUCGCUUGGGAACAUUCGUCCUCGAAUGUGGUGUUACAGUUGUAUUUAGUCUAAAGAAAGAUUUCAUGUGUCACACCCCAACCUUGGAAGGAACGACUGGCACACGAGGCCUGAAGGCCCGUGCAAACCAGCGGUCUUGCUUACAUCUUUUUAAUCAUGACACUUGGGCCAACGAGGCCUCCAAGACUAAUACCAGAGUUAAAAUAUGCAUAACUAACUUGCAAAAGAAACAUUGAUAUUUUAUACAUAAUCAUAGUUAUACCCAUCAAAGUCAUAACGCACCCUUUUACAUACAACCAAAAUCUAAUCUGCAGAUCUCUAAGAGCACCAAAAGAAAAAUAUACAUAUAUAUAUAUAUAUAUAACUAGGUCAGUACAGGGCACCACCAUACCCAAAAUGAUUAGAACAUAUACUUCAGUACCUAGCGACUUUGAAUAGCUACUCCAGAGAAGUGGAUAGCAACAACCAACAGUUGAAUGUGCACCUACUGGGGAGAGGCGUCACCGGGUCUAUCUGUACAUGUGGUCAUGAACACUGUGUCCAAAAGAAAGGGGCGUCAGUACGGCAAAUGUACUGAGUAUGUAAUACUAGGAAGAGGGGUAAAUCCAAGACAUAGCAUAAGAGAUAUGAAUAUAUGAUUUCAACCUGGAUACCGAAGACAAGCCAUGUGGGGACAUAAAUUGUAGAAACCAUCAAACUUAAAGUAUGCACGUUUUGCAAAAAGUUAAGCCACUCAUGGAGACUAUGCAUUAAUUAUAGUAUAAUAAUACUCAGCCGCUAUUUGGGGCAUAUCAAUUUGUAUCGUACUCGGCCUCGAAGAGGACUCGGUAAAAUCUUACAUUAUUAUUACAUCGUAUCCGGCCUCAAGAGAUCUCGGUUGUACCCGGUCUCAUUAAAGCUCGGCGCACCCGUUCUCAGAAGGACUCGGUCGUACCUGGCCACACAAGGGCUUGGUAAUAUUUUAUAUCACAUCACUCCAUACACGGUCAUAUAUAGGACUAGGUCGUACCCGAUCACACAAAAGCUCGGUAGCAUUUCAUAUUGUAACUCAUCAUACCCAACUGAUCAGUGGUUUCACAAUAGGUAUCAUACCUGGCCGUCUAUAGCAUGGCUCGGUAGUGUAAAAUAAAUACAUACAUAUAUAUAAGUGCAAUGUAUGAUCAUUUUCAAGAUACACUAAGACUUCACUCAAAUGAAACAGAAUCCUACUUUCUUUCCUCAAGACACUAUCUGGGAACAUCUUCAGACUUUAAAAGAAAGGCUAUUGGUUGGAAAAUACAAGAACAUGAACAACAUUUUUGGGAAGGGCUUAGAGCAAACUAAUUUUCAACAUAGAAAUCCUUUAGAGGGAGGGAGGGAGAGAGAGAGACUUACACCAAAUCAUGAUAAGACAGAAAGACGCCUUACAUACCUUGUUGUAGAAAUAGUUACGUUUCUAUGAUGGUUACUCUUCUCCCAACGAAUCUCCAGAAUUAAUACAACGAGAUAAUAGAUAUUCUAGUGACGAUUCCAAUCUCCUACACGUUAAUCCUACUAGAUUCAAUUUCGAUUGUCUUAGACUAUUUUGGGAGUUUUAAAGGGGGUUUGAGAGUAUUUUGGGAGAACUGAUGUUGGUGAUAUCUUCUAGAAUGAGGGAGAAGAGGGAUGCACUAUUUUGUUUAUACUAUACCAUGCCCAGGAUAUUCCUCAUUAUUCACAUGCAAAAUAGGUCGCCCCGCCCUGGUUAUAGCACCUGGUAGGACAACUAGCGCACGUCUAAUGAAACAUGUAGCCACAUUCUAUCCUCGUACGUGUUACUGGUUGUUUAGCCACGCCAAACUUACCAAGAUUUACUAUAUGUGUGGGGUGUAACAUCAUACCCCCUUCGAAAUAUUCAUCCUCGAAUGUUGAAUCGUAGUCACUCCUUGCGAACGUCUUUUUCAUUUUGGGCUAUGCCCGUCAUGGUAAUCCUUUCGUUGCUUCUUGUUAUAAGGAACAAAUGGGGGUACAUGGAUUUCAUAUCUUUCUCAUCUUCCCAGGUUAUUUCUUCUAUGUUAUUGUUUCUCCAAAGUACUUUAACCGAAGCUACCUCUGUGAUUCGCAACAUGCGCACUUGACGGUGUAGGAUAUCCACCGAAAUUUCUUCAUAGGAUAGGUCCUCCCUAACUUGAAUAUCUUCAAUAGGGGUAACAUGCUAGGGGUCACCCCAAGCACUUGCAAAGCAUGGACACAUGGAAUACCGAAUGCACUGCUUCUAAUUCCGGGGUAAUUCAAGCUUAUAAGCCACUUGACCGAUUUUCUGAGUAAUUCAAUAUGGUCCGAUAUACCUAGGGCUGAGUUUGCCUUUCUUACCAAACCUCAUCAUGCCUUUCAUAGGCGACACUUUCAAAAAUACCCAGUCUCCUUCAUAAAACUCCAAAUCUCAUCAUCGGUUAUCUGAAUAGGAUUCUUUCCUGAUCGGAGCGGUUAAUAAAUAAUGAAUCAUUUUCACCUUUUCUACAGCAUGUUGCACCAACUCAAGGCCCAAUAACUUUGUUUUACCAACUUUGAACCAGUCGAUAGGAGAUCUAUACUUUCAUCCGUAUAGGGCCUCAUACGGUGCCAUCUGAAUACUAGCAUGGUAGUUGUUGUUGUAAGAACAUUCGAUGAGUGGUAGAUGGUCCUCCCAAUUUCUUAUAAAAUAAAAAAAACAGGCUCGUAACAUGUCCUAGUACCCAAUUCUUUUUGGAUAGAUCUCCAAAUAUUAGCCAUAAUUUGGGCACCUCUAUCUGAUAUGAUGGAAAUCAUAAUCCCAUGGAUUCAAACUAUUUCUUUGAUGUACUACUUAGCAUAAUCUUCAGCUAAGAAGGUAGUCUUAACUGGUAGUAAGUUAGCCGGCUUGGUGAAUUGAUCUACGAUAACCCAUACGAAAUCAAAUCUUCUGCGCGAUCGCGGUAGUGCGGUGAAAAAAUCCAUGUUGAUAACCUCCCAUUUCUAGGUUGGAAUUUCCAUAUUUUGAAGUAACUCUCCCAAUUCUGGUGUUCAACCUUAACUUGUUGGCAAUUUGGACAUUAGGCGACAUAUUCAGAGAUGUUCCUCUUCAUGACAUUCCACCAUUGAAGAUCAGGGUACAUCUUGGUUGACCCCUGAUGAACAAAAUACCGGGACUGAUGAAUCUCCGCCAUGAUUUGCUCUCGGAGUACACCGACAUCAGGUACAGACAUACGGUCCUUGUAUCAAAGGACUCCAUCCUCAGAUAACUCGAACACUUGCUUAUUUUGAGAGGGAAUGCUUUAUCUUAUUUUCACCAAAGAUGGGUAAUCAAAUUGUCGUGCUUUUACUUCAGCCAUUAGCAACGAUUCGGCAGUAUUUCGAACUAUGGAUCCUCCGUUACCGGUAUCGAUCAAUCAUACACUUAAGUCAGUCAAUCGGUACAAUUCUUUGGUCACCUCCAACUUAUGCUUUUUCACAUUUUGUAGACUACUCAUAGCUUUCCGACUUAAUGUAUCAGCCACAAUGUUUGCAUUCCUAAGGUGAUAUAGAAUAUUAAUAUCGUAAUCUUUUAACAAUUCAAGCUACCUCCGCUGCCUCAGAUUUAUUUCUUUUUGCUUGAAUAUGUACUGCAAGCUCUUGUGAUCGGUGAAUAUGUAAACAUGAACUCCAUACAAAUAGUGAAACCACAUCUUUAAGGCAAGUAUAACAGCUGCUAGAUCCAAGUCGUGAGUUGGGUAAUUUUUCUCGUAUUUCCUUAGUUGUCUCGAAGCAUAAGCAACAACUCUCUCGUAUUGCAUCAAAACAAUGCCCAAUCCUAUUCUAGAGGCUUCAUAAUAUAAAACGUACCCCUCAGGUCCUUCAAGAAGAGUUAGAGCCGACGCCGAGGUUAACCUAUCCUUUUACUCUUGGAAUCUCUUAUCACAAACAUCGGUCCGCCAUAAGUUUGCUUCCUUAUGUGUCAACUUUGUUAAGGGAGCAGCUAUAGAUAUGAAAUUUGCUACAAAUAUUUGGUAGCAACCGGCUAAUCCUAAGAAACUGUGUACCUGCAUAGGAUUAGUGGGCCUUGGCCAAUUCUUAACCGCUUCAAUCUUUUUGACUAUCAAUUUGGAUACCCUCACUCGACACUAUGUGCCCAAGGAAAGCCACCGAGCUCAGCCAGAACUCGCGUUUAGAAAACUUAGUGUACAACUGGUGAUCCCGGAGUGUGCAUAGGACCUUUCGUAAAUGUUUUGUGUGCUCUGAUUCUGAUCGAGAAUACACCAAAAUAUCGUCUAUGAACACGAUCACGAAAAAAUUCAAAAAUAGCUUGAACACCCGAUUCAUCAGAUCCAUGAAGGCCUUUGGUGCAUUGGUUAGGCCAAAGCACAUGACGACAAACUCGUAAUGGCGAAACCUGGUCUAAAAGGUUGUCUUCGGAACAUAUUCUUCCUUGAUCCUUAAUUGAUGAUACCUAGAUCUGAGAUUGAUCUUUGAGAAAUACUUAGCGCCUUGCAAUUGAUCAAAAAAAUCAUCAAUUUUCGGAAGAGGGUACUUGUUGUUAAUGCUUACCUUAUUCAGCUGUUGGUAAUCACUAUUCAUCCUCAACGAAACAUCUUUCUUUCGAACAAAUAGAACGGGGGCUUCCCACAGAGAAGUACUAGGUCGGAUAAAGCCCUUAUCAAGAAGGUCCUUCAACUGAUCCUUUAGUUUCUUCAACUCGACAGGAGCCAUCCUGUACGGAAGAAUAGAUAUCGGUUGCAUAUCGGGUGGCACAUCGAUGGCAAAAUUGAUCUCUCUCUUGGGUGAAACUCCCGGGAGCUCAUCAAGGAACACAUCGAGAAAUUCACUAACAACCGGAAGCGAUUGAAGGGUUGGAGGUUUUGCCUCCGCAUCAAAUAAUAGAAACACCCUUUCGUGAUUAUCUUUUGAGCCUUAAGGUAAGAAAUAAAAUUUCCUUUUGGCGCUACUACAUCACCCUUCCAAUAAAAAAUGGGCUCUCCCAGAAAGUGCGAAUAACUUUUUUCCAACAAUCCACCGUAGCAUAACAAGAGGCUAGCAAAUUUAUCCCCAUAAUAGCAUUAAAUUCUAUCAUUUCUAACUCAUUCAAAUCAGCUAAGGUAUGGUGAUCAUCAAUCAUCACAUCACAACCUCAAUAUACCUUCCUAACUACCAUGGACUCGCCCACGGGCGUGGACACUUCAAAUAAUUUUUGUAACAAUUCAGGUACUUUACCACAUUUACCAGCAACAAAUGGAGUAAUAUAUGACAAGGUAGAGCCUUGAUCUAUUAGAGCAUACGCACUAAUGAAAAAUAUGGAUAGCAUACAUGCGACCACGUCCGGUGAUGACUCCAGGUUUUGUCAGCCUGACAAUGCAUAAAUACGGUUUUGUUGUUCGCUUGAGCUAGUCACUCUGCCUCAACCUCUACCUCUUCCCACCUGCGGUUGCAUACCUUGCUCAUGAGGAUGUGUUGUCAAUGAAGAAGUUGUUGUUGAUCACGUUGGCGGUAUCCCGCCACCCACGUUUCUCAUUGGGCAAAAGCGCAUGAUAUGACCAGGCUGCCCAUAAGAAUAAUGCAAGUCUUAGCCCUGGCGGCAAUGUCCAAAAUAAUUUCUACCACAUGCCAUAAUGUGGCACCGGAGGCCUCAUCUUACUAGGGUCUACACUAUAUUGUGAGCUCUAUCCUCGGGGAUUCUGACCCUGGCCGGAGUAGGUGAUCCGAUCACGACAUUGACCUUAGAAUUGUGAUGUCGUGCUAUCCACCAGAUUAGAUGGAUGUCAGGGAAAAUAAUGUCUAAACUUAUCUCAUAACUCUGCCAUAUCGCUUAUAGACCGGGCUCUCUUAUGUUGGCCCCAAUCAUGCUCUCGAGCGGCUCGCUAUUGCCUCUUACGAUCCUCCAGGUUCUGCGCAUAGGUUUGAAUACGGUCAAUAUCCAUAAUUGGAUUCAAAGAAGUUGUGGUGCAUUCAUUUUUCAGAUGUGGUCCCAAACCGUCCACAAAUUGAUAUACCCGAUCACUCAUCUCAGCCACCACCAAGGGAGCAUACCUAGCCAAGGAGUUAAAUUGCAUGCUAUACUCGCGGACACUCAUAUUACCUUGCUCCAACCAUAAGAAUAUGUCUUGUUUUGCUCGACGGAGCUCAACGGGCAAAUACUGCUGCAAGAAUGCCUCAGAGAAUUCCCUCCACCCUAUUGCUGGGGCAACAGAUCCCCCAGACUAUUCUCAAGUCUCAUACCAAGUCACAGCUGUAUUCCACAAUCAGUAAAAGGCAAGCUCUAUGGACUCAGUAUCAGUGGCAUGCAUAACUCGUAAAAUCCGAUGUAUUUGAUUUAGAAAAUUUUGGGGAUCUUUAUUUGGAUUUUUUUCCAGUUAAUACUGGGGGUCCAAAUUAAUGAAAUCACGAACUCUUCCACUGACCGUUCUAUCUGAAGUGUUGGGGGCCUGCUAUUGGGCCUGAGAGGCCACUAACCGAAUCAACAACUAUACAACACUUCUCAUAUCUAAAUCAUGUUCAGUAGUAAUCGGGGGAGGAACAGGAGGUACACUAGUUUCCCUCUGAUGUUCCAGGGGAAAUGGUGUUGUCCCUGAAACCUGAGUACCAGCCUUAUCGUGAGAUCCAUGUUGGACUAUAGGGUCAGGUGGCACCUGACUGGUACCUUCUCCCGCUUCUUCAUUAAAUCCCUGAAAAAUUGUCUGAUGUCUCGUUUUAGGCAUCACUAUAAUCAUAAACAAGAUGGGGAUUAGAAGUAAAUACUUACGACUCAGCUCUAUCACAUGAUCUAGAUUAGAAAGAAAGGUAUCCACCUAAGAUAUCCCGUAGCCUCCUAUUUAUAAGUAUGGUGCAUAACAUACCCAUAAACAAGACUCUAAGAUACGUCUUACAGACUUUCUAGGACACGACUUACUCUGAUACCAAGUUUGUCACACCCCAAUCUUAGAAGGUGCGACUGUCACUCGGCGGCCAAAGGCUCAUGAAAACCGGCGUCCAUGCAUACAUAUUUUUAAUCAUGAGACCUGGGCCAAUGAGGCCUAUACAUACUAAUAACAGAGUUAAAAUGUAUACAACUGACUUACAAAAGAAAUAUUACCAUUUUAUACAUAAUCAUAGUUGUACCCAUCAAGUCAUAACCCACCCUUUUACAUACAAUCAAACUCUAGUAUUCAAGCCCCUAAGAGUACCAAAAGGAAAAUAUACAUAUACAUAACUUGGUCCGUACAUGGCCUCACUGUACCAAAAAUGAUUAGAAUAUAUACUUCAGUACCUAGAAACAUUUGAACAGCUACUCCGGAGAAGUGGAGAGCAACAACCUACAGCUGAACGUGUACCUACUGGGGAGGGGCGUCACCGGGUCUAUCUGUACCUGUAGGCAUAAACACAGUGCUUAAAAUAAAGGGGCGUCAGUACAGUAAAUAUACUGAGUAAGUAAGACUAGGAAGAAGGGUAAAUACAAGUCAUAGCAUAAAAGAUAUGAAUAUAUGAUUUCAACCUCGAUACCGAAGACAAGCCACAAGGGGCAUAAACUGUAGAAACCAUCAAACCCAAAGUAUGCUAGUUUUACAAAAGGUUAAGCCACUCAUGGAGACUAUAUAUUAAUUAUAAUAUAAUAAUACUCAGCCGCUCAUUGGGACAUAUCAUUUCAUACCGUACCCGACCUCGAAGAGGACUCGGUAAUGUCUUCCAUUAUUAUCACAUCGUACCCGGCCUCAAGAGAUCUUGGUCAUACCCGGUCUCAGUAAAACUCACUCUACCCAGUCUUAGAAGGACUCGGUCGUACCCGACUACAGAAAGGCUCGGUAAUAUUUCAUAUCACAUCAUUCCAUACUCGGCCUCAUAGAGGACUCAAUCGUACCCGUCACACAUGGGCUCGGUAGCAUUUCACAUUGUAAGUAUAUAUAUGUAUGUAUGUAUGUAUAUAUAAGUGCAAUGUAUGGAUAUUUUCAAGAGACACUAAGACUUCACUUAAACAAAUUAGAAUUCAACUUUCUGACCUCAUGACACUAUCUGGGAAUAUUUUCAGACUUUAAAAGAAAGGCUACCAAUAAGAACGUACAAGAACAGGAAUAACAUUAUUGGGAAGGGCUUAGAGCAAACCAAUUUUCAAUAUAGAAAUCCUUUAGAAGGAGAGAGAGAGAGAGAGAGAGAGAGAGAGAGAGAGAGAGAAGAGAGAGAGAGAGGAGAGAGAGAGAGAGAGAGAGAGAGAGAGAGAGAGAAGAGAGAGAGAGAAGAACGUACGUACAUGCCAAGAAAGAAAGUCAUCGUACAUACCUUGUUUAGAUAUAGCUACGCUUCUACGAUGGUUACUCUGCCUCCAACGAAUCUCCAAAAUUAAUACAACGAGAUAAUAGAUAUUCUAGUGACAAUUCCAAGCUCCUUCAUGUUGAAUCCUGCUUGAUUCACUUUCGACUGCCUUAGAUUGUCUUGGAAAUUUUGAAGAGGGUUGCACUACUUUUUUUAUACUAUACCAUGCCUAGGCGAUUUUGCCAUAUUCACAUGCAAAAUAGGUCGCUCCACCCCGGUUACAGCACCUGGUGGGACAGAUGGCAUGCGUCUAAUGAUACAUGUAGCCACCUUCUAUCCUCGUACGCGUCGUCGGCUGGUUGGCCGCACCAAACUUACCAUGCUUUACUUAUGCGUGGGGUGUAACAUCAGGCCUUGUGCCACUCCGACUUAUUCCUUAGGAUCCAAAAUUUUGUCUAACUCCUAAAAUUUCAAAACAAAUUGGUAGAGUUUCCUGCGUAACUGGAGUUAUCAAAAAAAUUCAACUUGUCCAAACCACUCAACAAUAAUAUUUUUCACCUCUAGCUACUCGAUCCAAUAAUUUACAAUGUCAAGGCCCACCGAUAUACCACUAAAGCCACUUUACCUCACUAUAAGCACAAAUAUAUCAUAACUUCCCAAUCUAAGUAUUUUAAAGCAUAAAAUGAAUUAUGUACCUGAAAUCUCGAACAAAUAAGGAUACUUUUCCUUUAUAGCUUCCUUAGGCUCCCACGUGGCUUCCUCAGUUGAAUGGUUGCUCCAUAUUACUUUUACAGAAGCCACAUCUUUUGUUCGAAGUCUACUAACUUGCCUGUCUAUUAUAGCUACAUGGGCCUCCUCAUAUGGAAGAGUAUCAUCAAACUCUAUCUCUUGCCUAUGAAUUACAUGACUCGAAUCGUGAAAGUACUUUUUUAUCAUGGACACAUGAAAAACUGAAUGCAUCGAAAAUAACUCUGGAGGUAAAGCUAGACGAUACGCGACAAGCCCAAUCCUUUCAAGAAUUGGAUAAGGCCCUAUAUAUCUUUGGCUAAGCUUCCCUUUUAUACCAAACCUCAUGAUGCCCUUCAUUGGAGACACCUUUAAAAAUACAUAUUCACCUUCUUUGAACUCAAGAUCGCAACGUCUUAUAUUUGCAUAUGACUUUUGUCUGCUUUGAGCUAUUUUAAGUCAUUUCUGAAUCAGUUUCAACCUUUUCAAGGCAUCUUGUACUAUAUUUGGUCCAAUAAGCUUCGUUUUACCUAUCUCAAACCAUCCUAUAGGUAAACGACACCUCCUCCCACAUAGGGCCUCGGAUAGGCCAUCUGAAUACUUGCAUGAUAACUGUUAUUAUAUGUAAACUUAAUCAAAGAUAGAUGAUCAUCCCAAUUAUUUUUAAAAAUCAAGAACAUAUGCUCAUAACAUAUCUUCCAAGGAUUGAAUAAUCCUCUCGGCUUGCCCGUCUGUUUGGGGGUGAAAGAUUGUACUUAGAUUAACUUGGGUACCAAGACAUUCCUGAAAACUCUUCCAGAACUAGGCAGUAAACUGAGGACCCAUGUCAAAAAUAAUGGACACAAUAGAACCAUACAAUCGAGUAAUUUCUUUUAUGUAUAAUGAUGCAUAUUGAGGAGAUGUGUAGGUUGUUUUGAGUGGUAAAAAGUGAGUUGACUUAGUGAGUUGGUCUAUUAUGACCCAAAUGGAAUCAUGUUUCUUAAAAGUUCGCGAUAAGCCAACCAUAAAAUCCAUAUUUAUUUGUUCCUAUUUCCAUUCUGGUAUUUCAAUGACUUGAGUUAAGCCGUCUGGUCUCUGAUAUUCUGUUUUUACUUGCUGAUAGUUAAGGCACCGUGGUACAUAAUCUGCAAUAUCUCAUUUCAUAUUAUUCCACCAAUAAAUAUCUUUUUAAUCAUGAUACAUUUUAGUAGAACCCGAAUGUAUUGAAUAUCUUGAGCUAUAACUUCUACCAUAAUUGCCCUUCAAAGAUCAUCUAUGUUAGGCACACAUAAGCGACCAUCAAGUUUUAUCACACCAUUCUCAUCAAGUACAAAAUUUUUAAUCUUGCCACUAAGAACACCUUCCUUGAGCUUAAUCAAGCUAGCGUCAUCGAAUUGUUUGGUUUUAAUUUGCUCUACUAAAGUAGACUUAGAACCCAUACUUGCUAUAAACCUACAAUCAUACCUCUCAUCUAGACGAAUCCCUUGGCUAGCUAUUUGUAGGGCUUCCUUUACUAUUGGACGUUCCACCACAGAAAACCUGACCAAACUCCCCAGGGAUUUUCUACUCAGAGCUCAGCAACCACAUUCGCUUUACCCGGAUAAUAAAUGAUAUUACAAUCAAAAUCCUUAAGCAAUUUCAACUACCUGUGUUCUCUCAUGUUAAACUUUUUCUGCUUGAAUAUAUAUUACAAACUUUUGUGAUUGUAUAAAUGCCACACUGCUCUCUAUAAAGGUAGUGACAUCAUAUUCUUAGUACAAAAAUAACUGAUGCUAGUUCAAGAUUGAGGGUAGGUUAAUUUCUCUCAUGAUUAUUUAACUACUAGAAGCAUAAGAAAUUACCUUGUCAUUGUGCAUAAGAACACAUCCUAACCCCCACUCUGGAAGCAUCACAAUAGAUCACAUAUCUACAUGUAGGGGUAGGUAGAGUUAAUAUUGAGGUUAUAGUCAACUUGUUUUUGAGUUCCUGAAAACUUUUCUCACAAGUUUCAGACCAUUGAAACUUUACAUUUUUCUGGGUUAACUUUGUCAAUGGGACAGCCAGUGAAGAGAACCCUUCUACAAAACGACGGUAGUAACCUACCAAUCCUAGAAAACUAUGAAUCUUUGCAGGGGUCAUCGGCCUAGGCUAUUUUUAACUGCUUUAUUUUCUAUGGAUCUACUCUAAUGCCUUUUCUUGAGACCACGUGUCCCAAAAAUAUAAUUGUAUCGAGCCAAAAUUCAUAUUUGGAGAAUUUGGCAUAAAGCUGACGCUCCUUGAGUAUCUGAAGAACUAUUCUCAAAUGUUUUUCAUGCUCUUCAUGGCUGCAUGAAUAUGCCAAAAUAUUAUCGAUAAAUACUAUGAUAAAAGUAUCUAAGAAAGUCUUGAAGACUCUGUUCAUUAUGUACAUAAAAGUCGCUGGUGCAUUGGUCAAUCCAACGGACACUACUAAAAAUUUAUAACGACCAUAUUGAGUCCUGAAAGAUAUUUUUGGAAUAUUUGCUUCUCUAAUUUUUAACUAAUAGUAUCUCGAUCUUAGAUCUAUUUUUAAGAAAUACCUAGCACCUUGUAAAUGAUCAAUAAGUCAUCUAUCUUGGGCAGUGGAUAUUUAUAUUUUAUAGUAACCUUAUUCAGGUGGUAGAAAUCUAUGCACAUCUAUAGAGAACCAUCUUUUUUCUUCACGAACAAUAUUGAAGCACCCUAGGGUAAAACACUUGGUCGAAUAAAACCCUUAUCUAAAAGGUAUUGUAAUUGCAUGAUAAUUUAACUAUCUUAGUGUGGCAAUCAACUAUAGCAUGAUAAGAGGAUAACCAGUCCAUGCCAGCUAUGAUAUCAAAGUCAACCAUAUCUAACAAGUUUAAAUCAACUAAUGUUUCUCGGCCCUAAACUGUGAUGAUGCAAUCUCUGAAUAUAUAUUCAACUUUAACAGAUUUCUCUAUGGGUGUGGAAACCUCAAACGGAACCCCCUAAUGUUUCUGGUGCUUUCACAAAGUCGACACAGAAAUAAGGAGACACAUAGGAGAAAGUUUAACCUGGAUCAAUUAAUACAUAACCAAGGCAACCACAAACUAAGAGCAUACCUAUAAUAACUUUGUUAGAUAUCUCAGCAUUCUUUAUGUCUAGAACUGCAUAGAGUCUGGCUGGUCCGCCUCUUCCCCGAGAUUCACCUUUAUUUGUACCACGCCUAGUCUGAGUAUUAGGUUCCCGAACUGGAGGAGGUAAAAUUAAAGAAUUACAUGUGGAUGCUACCUGGGCUACUAGAGCCUUCCAUGGAGCAUGCCCAAGUUGUGGACAAUCUUUCAUAAGGUGACAUGGGUCAUAGCAGUAAUAACAUCCUCUCUAACCAAAAAGGCAUUGCUCGAGAUGAUUUUUGUUGCACACGGAACAAAUUGGAUAGGAGAACCAAGUCUGGCCUUGACUAGUUAAACUGUGCCCCAUAUAGGCUUAACCAUUACUCUGUUGACCCUGUCUGAAUGGAGCUGGAUAAGAAGACAAGUGAGAUGUUGACUGACUCUGAGCUGAGUGAUUCAUGUUCUUUUCCCCAAUUGAAAGUCCACUAUAACUACCUAUAGCUCUUGCCUUCUUUUCAUUCUCUGUAGCUUCCCUGGCAAUUUUAUCAAAGACCUCCUUGCAUGUAGCAAUAUUAACUACCUAAAGGUAAGUCUUAUCAUCCUGGUGCGAAGUCAUAUCUUUGGCCAUAUAUGGAUUCAAGCCAUCAAUGAAAUCGUCUGACUUUUUCUCUCUGUGUCGGUAUCAAAUUAGGUGCAUACUUUACCAAGUUUGUGAAUUCCAUCUCGUAUUGAGCCACUAACAUGGUGCUAUAUUUAAGAUGUUCAAACUAACACCAGAGAUCAUCAUACGACUGUAGGGGUACUUUCAGGCGAAUAUUUAUGCUUAACAGUUCGGCUUAUCGGUUUAUAAAUAUGUUAAUCUGCUAGCUAUUCAAUAAGACAUUGGUGAAUUGGUCUAAGAUUAAUGAUUAUCGGGCGAUUUAUAACCUAAAUCAAAUAGACAAAGAGUCUAUUAGCGUAAUUCCUUCUUCAUUUAGAAACUGCUUGAAAAUGAGUAAUAUAUUGCUUGGUGAGCAUCACAUGGCAAGCUAAGUGAUUAUGGGAUGUCUAUCCUUAUGGAAGAAAGUUCUGACUUAAAAUGAAGUUGUUGUCUAGCUGAGCAAAUAUUUAAAUAUUCUCAACAAGAAAAACUUUUGAACGUUACAUAUUCUAUGACGAGAUUAGGAAUUUGUGAAAAAAUUUAAUUAGGAAUUAAGGUGAUAGAGAAGAGAGAAGAGAUGACUAUUGCGGGCUGCUAUUCCUGGUGUUGAAUUGAGAUUUAAUAAAUUAGGGAUUUAGGGUUUCAAAUAUUACUUAUAAACAUAGGAGUAAAGUGUAAAUAUAAAAAUCCUUAAUAGGUAAAUAAUUUAUCCGAUAAGAAAAUUGAGUAUUCCACUCCCAAACCAUUAAGAAAUUAAUUAUAAAAUUUCAAUUAGUUCAUCAACCAUUAUCCCGAUAACUCGAUAUCAAUAAACCAAUAAGUUAUUUUUACUGUUCGGUUAACUGUUAUGGUUUGAUUUUUAACAGCCCUAUCCGACUGCUAGGCAAAAACUUGGCCCUAAAAGCUUAUUUAAAUUGUGUCCAAGUAAGUGGCGAUAAUAUGAAAUCUCUAGCCUUCUUGUAACCUCUCCACCAUUUUCCUGUUGUACCCUUCAACCGAAACCUAAUUAACUUUGUGGCUAAUAUUUCAAGGCAAUCCAAAAAAAUAAACAUUUCCUCUAUCUCUUCCGAAAAUAGCAUUGGCUCAUUCGGCUUGUUUGUACCAUUAUAAGUAGGAGGUUUUAAUCUCAGAAAGACAUGUGGAUCGAUUCUUCCUGUUGGUAACUGCACUGGCUGGGCAAUAUAUUUGCAGGGACAGGAAGAGGUGGUAUCCCAGGUAGAGCCUGAAAAUAAUGUUCUAUAACCUCUUCAUCAGAAUCAUGAAGGUCAUGAGGAGGAGUAUGAAUAGGUGCAGCCCGACCAUCUACUGGAGGGGCUAGGGACUCCAGAAAAUCCAAAAUUCUAUCAUUUCGAUCAUCACGUUGUUGUGGUUGAUUCACCCUGAGUGGGUUAGGAGGGGGUGUGACUUUAAUCUGAUCAUUAUCAACCUACUGAGGUGGAGUCUGUGCCUUUCCAGUGGCCCUACAACGAGCCCGAUUACCUCUGGCAUUUUCACCUUUACUCGUGGCAUUCUGAUCUCGACCUCUACCUAUACCUCUUCCACGUUCUCUAAUUGUAGUUGGUGCCUUUGGUGCAGUCUGUACCUCUGGUACUUCUUCUUGAUGAUUAGAAGCUGGUAUCCCAACAUUGUUAGCAGUAGAGGAUGAAGUUGAUCUUGUUUAGAAAUGAGAGACAAAGGACUGUUAGAAUUUUGAAACAUUUAGUUCUAACUCAUAAUGUAAGAAUCAAAGAAAAGGUAAUUUCUUAACAUGUCCUACAGCCUCCCAGAUAUAAGUAUGGUGCACAACAUACCUAUAAGUAAGACUCUACUAGACAUGACUCAUGAUUUUCUAGGACUCCCUAAACCUAAUCAUCUGGUAUCAACUUGUCAUGCCCCAAAAGCUAAGGUGGGACGUGAUUGGCACCCGACCUAAGGAACUGUAGAGUGAACACUUAACAAAGUUGUACUGAGAAUAAUGAUAACUGAAGUAACCCAAAAUGAGGCCAUGACAUAUUUAUUAACUAAAAAAAUUUAAUUCAAACUGAGAGUUAAGUCAUAAAUCUCAACAAAAUACCCAAUUGAGAAUAAAAAUUGUAUAAUACCCACUGGACUAAGUCAUGAGCCUCUAAGAAUAUCGAACAUUUACGUCCUUGGGGCACACUGCAAAUGAUAAAAUAAUAUAAAUAAAUACUAAAUUUGAGACCCACCAAGAAGAGAAUCGGGAAAAGUUGUGGUGGAAGCUAUUCCUAUCAUGUAGUGUCGGGAACGUGAUCAGCAAUAUCUGCAUCAAUGAUAAAUCAAAACAAGCCCUCACAGGCUAAAUAUCACGACGGGAUACCCAACAAGUCUCAUAGGCUUCCUCCUAAGAAGGCGGGGUGAGACCUUCUGGGAUAAAUAUAACAAGAAGGAAAAAAUAUCCAUAUAAAGCAUGUAAGCAAUUUAAGGUUUGAAAACUGAUAGCAGGCAAGACUAAAACUAUAAGCUGAACAUGUAAACAGAUAACUGAAAACUAAAACUUUAAAAUAAUAGUUAAAAUGGAAUGGAAUUUAAGUUACGUAUAGUGACCAUGUGUACAUGUGAUUUGACAACACACACAGGGGAGUGUCGGCCUAUCUCCCCAACAAAUAAUAGUUUCUGCGAUAGUAGGGUAGCUAAUCCUAGCCCUGGUGUCACUCACGCACAGGGAGGUUGUCUAGCUCUCCCUUCCGAAUAUGAACAUAUAAAUGCAUGAAUGAAUAAAUGAUGAAACUAAAUACUAAAGUGAAUGUAAAUAUCGCAAAUAAAAGUACAUAACAAGUAGUAAUACAAGUAAGCAUGUAAUUCUAUCACAUAUAAAGUAGUACUAAAUAAAAGUGGAAGUAAUAAAGUACAAGAAGAUAGGGAUUAGAUUUGUUGAACACAUGGAUCAUGUAGGUUUUAAUAAAAUUUUCUACUGGGAGAGUACGCCUCAACUCACCUAAAAGCUACGUGCUCACUGUAAUUCACGCUUUUUUCAAGAAAUCCCGAUUUACAAGUCUAUCUACAUGAUAAAGGGGAUCAAUUUACAUCUAUACAAGAACUAAAUGUAUAACUUAAUUCAUUUAGUUCAUGAAUAUUUAGGCUUAACCUGUACAACUUGUGAGUUCUAAUUCAAUAUGCACAAAUUAAGUCCACGCGUUCCAAGUUCUAUCAAUUAAUAGAUUUAAACAAUCUUCAAGUACACCCCAAGUUAUAAUAAUCGGCACCCAUUAAUGUUUCACCAUCUUUCACCACCACGCUUAUAUCCAAAGUUUCAAGUACUCGAAACAUAGAAAUAACUGAUAAACUAGCAUAAAUAAUGUUACUUACACAACAUCAACUAUUCUGAUAUUUUCGAAAUAUUGAUACAAUAGCUUUAAUCUAGAUGUAUUUACUUAGUUGAAAAGCUGUAAUAUUUAAUAAAAAAUAUUUCUUUUAAACCCAAAGCAUGCUCAUUCACCCCAUUUGUAACCAAACACGGAAGAUGACUUGAAUUUGUCAGAAUGUCAAUGAAUCGAGUAAAGUAUACUUUGUUCCAAAAUUUAUUCUUUAAAUUAUAUAUGAUAAUACCCACAACAAUAAAGAUGUACGCAAUACUCUUACAUUGAAUUUCUUCUUCACCGCUUGAAACAAUGCUUCGGGAUACCUAAUUCUCCUUUCCUCCCUUACUGCUACAUUUUUUUGUGUCUAAGAAAUUCCAAACCCCUUGCCCUUAAUCCCCACACUAACAGGCGUGGGCUUGGCCCAUUAUCUCAUUAUUUACAUAGUUUCUUUUUCUUUUCUCUUAUUUUUUUUCUCAUUCUUUGUUCAAAUUAUUAUUUCAAGCACUUUAGAUCCAUAUCUUGCACUCACAUGUAUAUUUCCAGAUAAUAUGCGUGAAGUGUGUGGGUCUUUAUACUCCCCGGGUAAUUUAAUUAUAUCAUUAAAUCCGUAAUUACUGAAAUUUUAAGCCUAGAAACUUAUGAUGCCUUACAGAAACCUCAAAAAUAGAGCAACAGAAGAAAGGGAAAGUAGGAUUUACGAUUUUUUAGAUCAGGAAGUGUAAUAAAAUUUUCUUUCUUUUUUCCUUUUGGGUAUUUUAAAUAGCGUCGUAUGAAUAAUGAAUUGGAGAGUUGAAGAAGAAAGGGGCAUGAGUGUGGGUCUGAACGAGAGAAGAAUGUGAGAAAGUUGCAACAUCCAUUUAUCGGAGUUCAUUUCUAAGAAGGUCACUGAACUUGAACUAAUGAAAUUUAUUCUUGAAAGUCACUUUACUUUGUUUUAUAACCGAAAAGUCAUCAUACUUUGAAUUAUAACUCAAAAGUCACUCAACAUAUUUAGGGUAUAUUAAAUAUUAUUUUUUUAUUUUUUUAAAACUCAAUCAAUUAAACAAUAAAAAGCCACCCAUUUAACCCGUGACUCAACCCGCUCUUUGACCCGACCCACUUUCUCUUAUUUUUGUUACAAAUAACGUAAAUAUUACUUUGUUGUUAAUUAUCUCGAUUUUCAACAUACUAGUUUAAGUAAAAUAUUAAAGCAGUUCGACUAGAAAUGGUCUUUUAGUAACAUUAUUUUUACUAUAAGCAAUGCGCGUUCUUGUUCUAAAACAUCGGGGAUGUUGUCUUUUAAUUUACUCUUAUAUUAAUAUUUGUCGGUCAAAAUUUCAAGCGUAAAUAACUUUUUUCAUUUUUCCUUCCUCUUUUUUAUUUUAUUCCACUUAAACGCUGCUAAUAUUUUUGUUUGACUUUCAAAUUUAACUCUAGUUUGUUAAGAUUAAUUUAACUCUAGUUGACAAGUGAGGAUUGCUCAGUUGGUAAAGCUCCUCCACCCACGACCGUAAAGUCCUGGGUUCGAGUCACGCUGGAGGGGAAGUGUGAAAACAGUAUAGAUCCUCCUAAUUUGGGAGGGGUUUAAAAAAAAGAUUAAUUUCUUAUUAUCUAUCUAAUACUUUGCUUAAACCAGUGUAUACAUUCAGUAUAAUUAUAUUGAAAACUAAUAUAAUACACUAUAGCAAAAUAAUAUUUACGUUUUUAUAAUAGAAAUAAGAGAAAAUGGGUCGGGUCAUGGAAUGGUCGAGUCAUGGUUUAAAUGGAUUUUUUGAUUUUUUAAAUGGUUGGGUUGUAAAGAAAUAUGAAAAAUAAUGAUUAAUAAUACCCUAAAAGUGUUGAGUGAAUUUUGAGUUACAAUGUGCAAAGUAUAAUGACUUUCCUGUUACAAAAUUAAAAAAAAAAAUAACUUUCAUAAACAAUUUUUAUUAGUUCAGUGACCAUACGAGAAAUGGACUCCCAUUUAUCCGUAUGUGUUGUGUUUUAUGUAAACUUUUAAUCAAAUAAGAGCACAUUUAGGAGUAAUUAGAAAAAUGAGGAAGAGAGAGAUUAUAGAAAGUGCAAAUGAAAAUGGGCAUACGAAUGUGUCCAAGUUGUUAAUAUGGUUACUAAUCUUUAAUACUCCAUUUUUUUAUGGAUAAUUUAAGAGACCUCCCUUCAAGUUUCGUCCUAUCACACUGACCUUCAUUGCGUUUAUAAUAUUACGCCGCCCUCCUUUUUUGAUUUUCUUGUAAUCAUUAUUUAAACUCAUUUUAAAUAAAUAUAAAUAAAAUAUAAUUUGAUAAAUUUGCCCUUUUUAGUAUUGAAAAAUACGAACCAACCCAAUCUAUAUACACUCCUACAUGUAUAUUUCCUUUUAGUAACGAGAUGAUAAUUUACACUACAAAUAGACUAUAAUUGUUAAGCUUUUAAUUUAUUCUAUGUAACAAAACUUCUAAAAUAGUGGUUACGUCCGUUUCAUUAGUUCUUAUGUUGUUUUCAAGGAUCAUUUUGAUGACGAGAAAAAUCAAACUUUCUCUAACAGUAAUUAAAUUCAAAGUAAUUUAUCUAAUUGAAAGAAAUUAACAUUAAAAAGGGCAAAUCUGUCAAAUUAUAUUUUAUUUAUAUUUAUUUUAAAUGAGUUUAAAGAAUAGUUACAAAAAAAUCAAAAUAAGGGAGGUAGGUGUAAUAUUGUAAACCACAAGAGAGAUAACUGUGAUAGGGCGAAACCUGAAGGGAGAUUAGUGUGAUAGGGAGAAACAUGGAGGAGCACUCUCAAUUUAUCCGUUUCUUUUUAAGAAAAAUAUUUUCCACUCACUUGGUCUAAUUUGUGACGCACACGAUAGUAAUAAUUGGUUAGAAAAUUUGACCUUUUCUACGUGGUGUAAAUAAAGCACUAAAGCGAAGUUGCUUUCAGGGGUUAUAUUGAUGGUGAUGGAGUAAUGGACUAGUGGUAAUGGUAAUGAUAAUUGUCUAAAUUAUAUGAAAUUUAAGGCCUCCAGUUUUUGUUGAUAAUUUCUUGCACGCAAAUGAAAUAUUCAGCCUAUAAUAAUUUGCACGAAAGAAUAGGGCACUGACGUGAGUUUACCUCACCUUCAUAAUUGCAGCUUUACUUUCCCAUCUUAACAUUCGUUAUUUUAUAAAAAAAUGAAUUUGAUUAUAAGCAGACAUAAUUUAUACAUAAUAAAAGGAGAAGCCAACUUGUAUUCUAUAUAUUGAUAAGUUCGUGUUACAGCCCAAAUCAGCUUCCUUUCAUACAAAUAUCAUAUUAGAAAACCAAACAGAAAAACCAUGAAACAACAUCAAACAAACCUUGUCAAAAAGAUUUGGAGAUGGUCAGUUUCAUGGUUGUAGUUUUAUUAAUACUACAAAGCUUUUAAAACACAUAAUAUAUUUUUGGGCCAGCUAAUGACCAUGUUCAUCAGCAGUUGCAAGGGUCACAUUUGCAGUUUGCUCCGCACUUGCAGCCAUUUCCUCCUUCUGUUGCUUUCUCAGCAGAUCCCUCGU
rnacentral:lncRNA from 1 species